AGUGGAGUUGCCGUAGUCGACGUGCGCAGGUGCAGAAGGGUCUGACGAUCAGCAACUAGGAGCAACCAAUUGUGCAAAAAAUUGCUCAAAGGGAAAAAGGUGGAGGAAAAGCCAUCAGCAAAUCCAGGCAGCACCAGAACUCGCAUUAAUGCAGUAAGGCGUGGCUAUUGGGAUGCAGCGGCCAAUCAUAGUGCAGUGGGCGUUUCCUGCCAUGAGAUUGAUCGUAACAUGACCACGUAAAGGUUUGAGGAGGCCUAUCAGUGACAUAGUUGCACCAAACGUGCCGAUGACGCAACUAUGUAAUUGUUUACAUUUUUCAUGAAAACAUAACAAAACUGUAAAAUGAAUUCCCUGCGAUUGGCUGGUAACCACCCAGGGUUUACCCCGACUGCUGCCCAGUGAUAGGUCGGAUCGGCUCCAGGACUCUCGUGAGCCUUGUGAGGAUAAGCGGCUGGAUGGAGCAAGUAAACUGACAAUUUCUCAAAAAUGUGAUUGUCCUCUGAAUCUGGAACGAACCAUCUACAUUUAGCGUACAAGGCGAGAGCGUUUAUUGUAACAGUGUGAGAUCUUUACUCUCACGGAAACAUUCAAAACAAAGAAGUCAAGAAUUUAAUGCGCAUACACCCCCACACAACAUCCUGUCGUAUCAUGCCACCUCCAUAGGAGGGUGACAACAAUUGCAGAGCCAUAUUAAAAUUCUAUUUAUGUGACACGGUGAACAUAUGAAAUUAAUGGACAACCCCCACAGCCUCCAAUUUUCCAAGUACAGAAGAAUUACUUUGUAGGUAUGAAUGUCAGGAAAUGAUGGGCAUGAGUUUUAAAGUCAACUGUAUAGUAUGCCUCAUUUAAAAAAAAAAAAAAAAAAAACACGCAAAAUUUGCAAAAAUGAAGAAAAACAACUUAAUCGGGUCAAAUGAUGUUGCGUGUACUUGCUGUUAAACGGAUCCAUCGCGCAGCAUUGUGGAUAUUACCUGCUCGAUCUUGUGCUGUCUACUUUGUGCUUGUACUUGUGCUUUUGUUGAUACUUUGUCUUAAACUUGUAUCUGGCGCAAUGGUACCUCAAGUCUUGAAUACGCAUUGCAUCCCUCAAUCUCAUGGGUGGGUGGAAGGAGGAUUAGAAGGAACGUCUGCAUUUUUAAUGGAAUGUUCAUGUUUUGUUGCUGUUUUUUCAGUUUUUUUUUUUUUUUUUUUUUUUGUCAAUCAUAUUUCGGUUUAAGAGCUCACCUGAUUAUAAGCCUCACCCAGUACAUUUUGUAAAGGAAAUAAAAUUUGAAAAAAUGCACAAAUUAACCACAUCACCGCAUAAACCACAGGGUUGAAAGCAUGUAAAAAAAAAAAAAAAAAUCGCGAUUUAUAGGCCUUAAAUUACUGUACAUAUGAUAUACUGUACCUGCCUGUUUGGAGUAUGAGUGACUCGUUUUUUAAGAACCAUCAUUCUUUUUUUUUUUUUUUGCUUUGACUUGUGAGCAAAAAUUUGUGAUACAUAAAAUGUACCUUUGCACAGAAUUCUUGGUUUGAAAUGAUUGAAAAUUAUACUUUAGAUUCACAAAUGUAUUGAAAAGAAUGCAUCCCCAUUAAUUACUAAAAAUAUAGUUACUGGUGAUGUGGUUUCUUAUUUACUUGGUAUUGGAUUGAUAACCGGAUCUUAUUAGUAUCGCACCCCACUAGUGGACAACACCA